rnacentral:lncRNA from 1 species
CGCGUCUGGGGCGUGUGCGCCCAAGGCCAGAGGCACCCGAGGUGGGCUAGCCCAGGGUGGAAAGCCUGGGCCGAGCCCCUGGAGCGGGCGGAACGGCGAGCCAGAUUGAGGAAGUUGUGCCUCUGACAUCAGGGGCAGGACAGAGUUGGAGCGAAACCUCAACUAUGCCAGGCGUCGGCCCGCAGGAAGGCAGGGAACACAGAGGGCGCUGUCCUCGGCGGCAGCGGCAGAUUAUUCCCCAUUUUGGAGAUGAAGAAACUGAGACUCAAAGCAGCUGAGUGACCUUCCCAAGGACACACACUGAACUGGGCAGUGAUCAGGAUCUGAAUGCACAGGGCGGGUGUUCAGCGAUUGUUUACUACGUUGAACGUGACCUCCAGGAAAGCAGUUCUGGCCGAGAUCCCCUGACAACGCAAAGCAAGAAGUAACGUGGAAGGAGGCUCCCCAAGCUGGCUGGCCAUUUUGCUGCUGUGUGUGGAGGUGCUGUCAGUGGCAUGCCCAAACCCAAAGCUGGAAGAGGAAUAAAUUACAAGUGGUCAAGGUUGCAUCCUUUUGAGCCCAGGACCUGCUUGUAAGCCGAGAGGGUUCUCUGGCCCUAAUCUAGCCAAGCACCAUGGAGAGAAUCAGCGCCUUCUUCAGCUCUAUCUGGGACACCAUCUUGACCAAACACCAAGAAGGCAUCUACAACACCAUCUGCCUGGGAGUCCUCCUGGGCCUGCCACUCUUGGUGAUCAUCACACUCCUCUUCAUCUGUUGCCAUUGCUGCUGGAGCCCACCAGGCAAGAGGGGCCAGCAGCCAGAGAAGAACAAGAAGAAAAAGAAGAAGAAGAAGAAGGAUGAAGAAGACCUCUGGAUCUCUGCUCAACCCAAGCUUCUCCAGAUGGAGAAGAGACCAUCACUGCCUGUUUAGUUAGGCAGGAAGCAGAGGUGUUUCCUUUCUGGGGCUAAGCCUCCUUCUGACCACACACAGACAUUUCAGGAACCCCUGAAAUGAUGCACUAUGUCCAUGUCCACAGAGUAACUACUCAACCAAGGAACAAACCUCAGACUAAGUGUCCCAGUGGAGGGCAGUCCCAGGGACCACGUGGACAAUUCUUGGAUACUGUCUUGGCAGCUAUGUGUCCAAUAGCAAUGCUCCUUACUGCAGACCCAGGCAUGCCUCCCACCUGUCUCUGGCAUACCCCACAUGCAAAGCACAAAGAACAUUUAUCCAUACAUCUCAAUAUGGUUCCCAAGUGUGUGCACAUGCACGUAACACACACAAAUUCAGGCAGCAGGUACGUGGGCAAGUAUAUUCUGCUCAUCAAAUGGUCAUUGGCUAUGUACUUUGUGCAGGGAAGUACAUUAUCUACAGUCACAAAAAUGUCUCAUGGGAAAGCCUUGCCAGAUUCAGACACAUAUAUACAAUUUCCUAACCAGCAAGGCCCCCAUACACCAUCUAUUCCAUAAACCACUCAGGUUACAGAUGCAUGCUUUCCUAUUUCUAACUCUACACAUAAACUUUUACUGGAAGUACUCAUAAUUGGACAUUCCAGCAACCUGCUACAGUCCCCACCCUUGUGUGUCUUGAUACAGACACACCAAGUUUCUGUGCCUCUGACCCCUCACCUGUGCCAAGAUGUUUAAAGUGUGAUGGUUCAAAAUUCAUUGAAAGCUCUUUUCUUGUAACUCAUGACAAAGUCCGUCCUCAUUGCCACUGAGAGGUGUUUAAUGUGAUCCAAGACCUCUCUGUGAAACAUUACCCCCGCAAACCACUCAGCAAAGUGCCUUUCUCCAAGCAAGAACUAACAGCUCUUGGUGGUGACUGCUAGAAAGCUAUGGAAGCCCACUCAUUUAUGUCAGUGGACUGCAACUGUGUACCUGUGCAAUGUUUACAGAUGGAAAGGGUGAGGAGAUGCUACACCUGAGCUAGGUAUCUCCUAUAUAACCAAAGUUUCCAGCAGGGAAGGAACUAGACAAUCAUCAGUGCAGUCUCACAGAAGGCAACACUGGAAGUGAUGUCAUAAGGUUGUGAUGUGUGCACGGUAUGGCACAGGUGGGAUGCAGAGGUAACAGAGUUUAAAUGAAAGUAGGAUGAAGCUAUAAAGAGGUUUAUUUAUAUUUAUAUUGAAGCUCAGGCAAGUGCCUUGCACACAGUAGGUACUUAUAACUAACUGUGGUUACUGUUGGAUAUGUGAUGUUGUUAAGGGUAAGCUUGUAAUACCUCACCAAUUCUCCCCGAGUGAUCCUCUCUUCUAAGUGAGCCCACUAAUUGCUGCAAUGGAUGAAAUUGGGUGUUUAAUGCUGCAGGAGAGUACAUGUAGGUGACACAUGUGCCUUGAGGUAUGUGAGGACAUGUAAAUUAGAUCCACAGUGAGCUGAGGAGGGCUUUCCCCACCAGAGUGAGGUUGGGAAGCAGAGUUAAUCCACUUAUAGGAUGAACUGCUUGGUAUUUUUAUUGUAUUGUGACUGUAUUACAAAGAUGGACAAUUCACUCCUUGGGAGCAAGUUAUGCUCUAGAAGUUUAUUUACACAUA